rnacentral:rRNA from 1 species
GUCUAUCCUGCCCACUGAUUUUUUAGAGGGCCGCGGUAUUUUGACUGUGCAAAGGUAGCAUAAUCACUAGUUUUUUAAUUGAAGGCUUGUAUGAAUGGGUGAACAAGAAUUAAUCUGUCUCUUUUUAAUAAAUUGAAUUUUAUUUUAAAGUGAAAAAGCUUUAAUAAAUUAGAGGGACGAUAAGACCCUAUAAAUCUUUAUAUCAUUUUUCUUAAAAAAAUAAAGUAUUUAGUUUAAAAUGUGUUAAUUAAAAAUUAUUGUACUGGGGCAGUGAAAAUAUAAAAUAAACUGUUUUAUUGUAAAACAAAUAUAAUUGAGUUUAAUAAAAGACCCUUUCUAAGGAUUAUAAGAAUAAGUUACUUUAGGGAUAACAGCAUAAUUUUUCUUGAGAGUUCUAAUCGAAAGAAGAGUUUAUGACCUCGAUGUUGAAUUAAAUUUUCU